AGAGUUUGAUCCUGGCUCAGAUUGAACGCUGGCGGCAUGCUUUACACAUGCAAGUCGAACGGUAACAGGCCGCAAGAUGCUGACGAGUGGCGGACGGGUGAGUAACGCGUAGGAAUCUACCUUAUAGUGGGGGAUAACCUGGGGAAACCCAGGCUAAUACCGCAUGUUUCUCAAGAGAUAAAGCAGGGGACCUUCGGGCCUUGCGCUAUAAGAUGAGCCUGCGUCGGAUUAGCUAGUUGGUGGGGUAAAGGCUCACCAAGGCUACGAUCUUUAGCUGGUCUGAGAGGAUGAUCAGCCACACUGGGACUGAGACACGGCCCAGACUCCUACGGGAGGCAGCAGUAGGGAAUAUUGGACAAUGGGCGAAAGCCUGAUCCAGCAAUGCCGCGUGAGUGAUGAAGGCCUUAGGGUUGUAAAGCUCUUUUACCCGAGAUGAUAAUGACAGUAUCGGGAGAAUAAGCUCCGGCUAACUCCGUGCCAGCAGCCGCGGUAAUAC
rnacentral:rRNA from 1 species